rnacentral:rRNA from 1 species
ACGCACGCUGGCGGCGUGCUUAACCCCUGCAAGUCGAACGGAAAGGCCCAGCUUGCUGGGUGCUCGAGUGGCGAACGGGUGAGUAACACGUGGGUGAUCUGCCCCUAACUUCGGGAUAAGCUUGGGAAACUGGGUCUAAUACCGGAUAGGACAAUCGUUUAGUGUCGGUUGUGGAAAGUUUUUUCGGUUAGGGAUGAGCCCGCGGCCUAUCAGCUUGUUGGUGGGGUAAUGGCCUACCAAGGCGUCGACGGGUAGCCGGCCUGAGAGGGUGGACGGCCACAUUGGGACUGAGAUACGGCCCAGACUCCUACGGGAGGCAGCAGUGGGGAAUAUUGCACAAUGGGCGCAAGCCUGAUGCAGCGACGCCGCGUGGGGGAUGACGGCCUUCGGGUUGUAAACCUCUUUCGACAGGGACGAAGCUUUGGUGACGGUACCUGUAUAAGAAGCACCGGCUAACUACGUG